UGAAAAAAGCCCAACAAAAUUUAAAAAUAUAGCCCAGAACGUAACCAACAAACAAAUAAAGCUCUUAUCACUCUUUCACUGAAAGCCUGAAACUGAGAAAGCAUAGAAAUCUCACAGAGCGCAUGGAAAUCUCAUAGAGCUCGACGAUCAUGGAGAUCUCAUAGAGCUCGACGAUCAUCGAUUAGGUACGUAAUCGCACAGCUCCGAUUAGGUUGUAGCACAGAAAGUGAAGGAAGCUGAAAUCACUGAGCAGGACUCGCUUCUUCUAACCCUGCCACUGCAGCUGCUUCUCAAGCAAACAAGGAGGAGGCAGAUGCAUGAUCGGUGUUUGUUGGCAAUUUGUUUUGUCAAAUGGUAGAAAGAGAAGACAAGUCAUAGCCCUAGUAGAAUUGAAUUAUUUGACAUCACCCAUGUGCAAGCUAAUGGGCAAGCAGUAAAUGAACCAACAGAAGAUGCAUUGAAACUGAGGACACCCAUAAUGGCUGAAAUGUUCAAUUGUAAUAGCUGAUAACUUCUUGCUUUGGAGAUGAUGAUGAAGAAUAAAAUGUAUCAAAACUUUUAACUCUUGGACAAAUUUGGUCUUUGUACAAAGUGUGGUUGUUGAUAUCUUUUCUCUUAAACAAUAAUUGACAUAUUGGCAGUUUGUAUGCGGCCUCUACUCUGUUAAUUUGUAGGUUUGAGAUUAGAGAUCAAAGAAAGUGUAAUUGUAGCAAUAUACCACUUUUGCUAUAUAUCAAUAUCAUAGCAUAUCAUCUCAACAAUUGUGAAUUUUUUUGU